CAUGAGUGUUUCACAGUUUGCUAUGUUACAUAACAAAAAGAAUGUUGAUACUCCCAGUUUGAUACUUAAGAAUUAUAUCCAGAGAACAAAACGCCUCCCUGUACUCACUUCUAAUCUGUUAUAAAAUGUGAUUACUUUGGCAUUAGCACAGAUAUGUUAUAUAAUGUUGUGAUUAUUCAGUGAACAAAACACAGUGAAUGGAUAAUCACCCACACAUGUCUUUUAAAAAAUGACCUUUAUUGCAUUUGAAAGGACAACUGGUUUGGAGAAUUACAUUGUACUACCUAGACAUGCCAGGAGAUAUCUCAUUUUCCAUCUGUACUCUGGAAACUGCGGUUUAAGUCUGUUAACAAGAAAGAUAUUAAUAUUAAACUUUUAAUAUAUUUGUGAUUACAGUUUAUUUUGUGGUGUUUGAUAUUGAA